rnacentral:rRNA from 1 species
UAGGGAAUCUUCCACAAUGGACGCAAGUCUGAUGGAGCAACGCCGCGUGAGUGAAGAAGGUUUUCGGACCGUAAAGCUCUGUUGUUGGUGAAGAAGGAUAGAGGUAGUAACUGGCCUUUAUUUGACGGUAAUCAACCAGAAAGUCACGGCUAACUACGUGCCAGCAGCCGCGGUAAUACGUAGGUGGCAAGCGUUGUCCGGAUUUAUUGGGCGUAAAGCGAGCGCAGGCGGAAGAAUAAGUCUGAUGUGAAAGCCCUCGGCUUAACCGAGGAAUUGCAUCGGAAACUGUUCUUCUUGAGUGCAGAAGAGGAGAGUAGAACUCCAUGUGUAGCGGUGGAAUGCGUAGAUAUAUGGAAGAAUACCAGUGGCGAAGGCGGCUCUCUGGUCUGCAACUGACGCUGAGGCUCGAAAGCAUGGGUAGCGAACAGGAUUAGAUACCCUGGU